UCUCCGUAGGUGAACCUGCGGAGGGAUCAUUACUGAGUGAGGGCCUUCGGGCUCGACCUCCAACCCUUUGUGAACACAACUUGUUGCUUCGGGGGCGACCCUGCCGUUUCGACGGCGAGCGCCCCCGGGGUCAAUCAAACACUGCAUCUUUGCGUCGGAGUUUAAAACAAAUUAAACAAAACUUUCAACAACGGAUCUCUUGGUUCUGGCAUCGAUGAAGAACGCAGC
rnacentral:misc_RNA from 1 species